rnacentral:rRNA from 1 species
AACGAACGCUGGCGGCAGGCCUAACACAUGCAAGUCGAACGCCGUAGCGAUACGGAGUGGCAGACGGGUGAGUAACGCGUGGGAACAUACCCCUCGGUUCGGAAUAACUCAGGGAAACUUGAGCUAAUACCGGAUACGUACCAAGGUUUUAAUCGACCUUGGAGAAAGAUUUAUCGCCGGAGGAUUGGCCCGCGUCUGAUUAGCUUGUUGGUGAGGUAAUGGCUCACCAAGGCGACGANCAGUAGCUGGUCUGAGAGGAUGAUCAGCCACAUUGGGACUGAGACACGGCCCAAACUCCUACGGGAGGCAGCAGUGGGGAAUAUUGGACAAUGGGCGAAAGCCUGAUCCAGCCAUGCCGCGUGAGUGAUGAAGGCCUUAGGGUUGUAAAGCUC